GAUGAAGAACGUAGCGAAAUGCGAUAAGUAAUGUGAAUUGCAGAAUUCAGUGAAUCAUCGAAUCUUUGAACGCACAUUGCGCCCGCCAGCAUUCUGGCGGGCAUGCCUGUUCGAGCGUCAUUUAAACCCUCGAGCCCCCCCCGGGGGCCUCGGUGUUGGGGGACGGCACACCAGCCGCCCCCGAAAUGCAGUGGCGACCCCGCCGCAGCCUCCCCUGCGUAGUAGCACACACCUCGCACCGGAGCGCGGAGGCGGUCACGCCGUAAAACGCCCAACUUUCUUAGAGUUGACCUCGGAUCAGGUAGGAAUACCCGCUGAACUUAAGCAUAUCAAUAAGCGGAGGA
rnacentral:misc_RNA from 1 species